rfam:Capnocytophaga sp. oral taxon 338 str. F0234 genomic scaffold SCAFFOLD4, whole genome shotgun sequence.
CAAUAAGUUAUGUAAGGGCGUAUGGGGGAUGCCUAGGCUCUCAGAGGCGAAGAAGGACGUGAUAAGCUGCGAGAAGUUGCGGGGAUUGGCACAUACGAUAUGAUCCGCAAAUAUCCGAAUGGGGCAACCCAGUACACGGGAGGUGUACUACAUCGUAAGAUGGGCGAACCCGCUGAACUGAAACAUCUAAGUAGGCGGAGGAGAAGAAAACAAGAGUGAUUUCCAGAGUAGUGGCGAGCGAAAUGGGAGGAGCCCAAACCUGUAUUGUUUUGGCAAUGCAGGGGUUGUAGGACUGCGAGAUUUGCUGUUUAUCGAAUUAGAACACCUUGGAAAAGCGUGACCAGAGAGGGUGAAAGUCCCGUAUAGGUAAGAUAAAUAAGUGAUAGCAGGAUCCUGAGUAGGUUGGGGCACGAGGAACCUUGACUGAAUCAGCCGGGACCAUCCGGUAAGGCUAAAUACUCCUGAGAGACCGAUAGUGGACGAGUACCGUGAGGGAAAGGUGAAAAGCACCGUGAAUAACGGAGUGAAAGAGACCCUGAAACCAUACGCUUACAAGCGGUCGGAGCGGCUGAGGCCGUGACGGCGUGCCUUUUGCAUAAUGAGCCUACGAGUUACUGUUACUGGCAAGGAUAAGCACUUAAGGUGCGCAUUCGUAGCGAAAGCGAGUCUGAAUAGGGCGUUGAAGUCAGUAGGAGUAGACGCGAAACCUGGUGAUCUACCCUUGGGCAGGUUGAAGCACUGGUAACACAGUGUGGAGGACCGGACUGGUUGUCGUUGAAAAGACUUCGGAUGACCUGAGGGUAGGGGUGAAAGGCCAAUCAAACUGGGAAAUAGCUCGUACUCCCCGAAAUGCAUUUAGGUGCAGCGUUGUGCUAAAGUUUAAUAGAGGUAGAGCUACUGAUUGGAUGCGGGGGUUUCACCGCCUACCAAUUCCUGACAAACUCCGAAUGCUAUUAAAUGUUACACAGCAGUGAGGGCUUGGGUGCUAAGGUCCAAGUCCGAGAGGGAAAGAACCCGGACCAUCAGCUAAGGUCCCCAAAUAUGUGCUAAGUUGGAAAAACGCGGUUGAACUGCAUAGACAGCUAGGAUGUUGGCUUGGAAGCAGCCAUACAUUUAAAGAGUGCGUAACAGCUCACUAGUCGAGCGGCUCGGCAUGGAGAAUAAACGGGCAUAAGCAUAUUACCGAAGCUAUGGGGAUAUACGAUAGGUAUAAUCCGGUAGGGGAGCAUUCUAUGGGCAUUGAAGCUAAAGACGUGAGUUAUAGUGGAGCCUGAUAGAAAAGAAAAUGUAGGCAUAAGUAACGAUAAGGCAGGCGAGAAACCUGCCCGCCGAAAGAUCAAGGUUUCCUCAGCUAUGCUAAUCAGCUGAGGGUUAGUCGGGGACUAACGCGUACCCUUUCAGGGGAAGUGGAUGUACAACUGGUUAAUAUUCCAGUACUAGUAUUUCAAUAGAAGUGACGGAAUGAGAUAUAUGCUGCGCACAGACGGAGUUGCGUUAAAGGUGUUGUUAUGGCACUGAUAGUACACUUAGGCUACGGCCGAGGUGAUAGCAUAGACAACGUUUCCAAGAAAAGCGAGAGAUACUACCCGUACCGUAAACCGACACAGGUGAUCGGGAAGAGAAUUCUAAGGCGCUCGAGAGAUUCAUGGCUAAGGAACUAGGCAAAAUAGACCUGUAACUUUGGGAGAAAGGUCGCCUAUCGCGAGAUAGGUCGCAGUGAAGAGGUCCAAGCGACUGUUUAUCAAAAACACAGGACUCUGCAAAAUCGAAAGAUGAGGUAUAGGGUCUGACACCUGCCCGGUGCUGGAAGGUUAAGAGGAGGGCUUAGCGUUGAGCGAAGGUUUGAAUUGAAGCCCCAGUAAACGGCGGCCGUAACUAUAACGGUCCUAAGGUAGCGAAAUUCCUUGUCGGGUAAGUUCCGACCUGCACGAAUGGUGUAACGAUUUGGACACUGUCUCGGCCAUGAGCUCGGUGAAAUUGUAGUAUCGGUGAAGAUGCCGAUUACCCGCAGUGGGACGAAAAGACCCUGUGCACCUUUACUACAUCUUCGUAUUGACCUUGGAUAAGUGAUGCGUAGGAUAGGUGGGAGACAUUGAAUCGGCUAUUCUGGUAGUUGUGGAGUCGUUGUUGAAAUACCACCCUUUGCUUAUCUGAGGCCUAACCCUCUUGAAGGGAGGGGACAAUUCGUGGAGGGUAGUUUGACUGGGGUGGUCGCCUCCAAAAGCGUAACGGAGGCUUCUAAAGGUUCCCUCAGCACGCUUGGUAACCGUGCGAAGAGUGCAAUGGCAGAAGGGAGCUUGACUGAGAGACCUACAAGUCGAUCAGGUACGAAAGUAGAGCAUAGUGAUCCGGUGGUUCCGUAUGGAAGGGCCAUCGCUCAAAGGAUAAAAGGUACGCCGGGGAUAACAGGCUGAUCUCCCCCAAGAGCUCACAUCGACGGGGGGGUUUGGCACCUCGAUGUCGGCUCGUCACAUCCUGGGGCUGGAGAAGGUUCCAAGGGUUGGGCUGUUCGCCCAUUAAAGUGGCACGCGAGCUGGGUUCAGAACGUCGUGAGACAGUUCGGUCUCUAUCUACUGUGGGCGUUAGAAAUUUGCGUGGAGCUGACUCUAGUACGAGAGGACCGAGUUGGACUAACCGCUGGUGUAUGAGUUAUUCUGCCUAAGGGUAUAGCUCAGUAGCUAAGUUAGGAGUGGAUAAGUGCUGAAAGCAUAUAAGUACGAAACCCACCACAAGAUGAGAUUUCUUUAGAGGGUCGUGGGAGAUGACCACGUUGAUAGGUUACAGGUGUAAAGGUGGUAACAUCAAAGCCGAGUGAUACUAAUAACCCGAAGACUUAUUGUA